GGUUGUAGCUCAGGGGUAGAGUGUUUGCCUAGCAUGUGUGAGGCCCUGGGUUUGAUUCUCAGCACCA
rnacentral:tRNA from 1 species